rnacentral:tRNA from 1 species
GAGGUUGUGACUCAGUGGUAGAGCACUCACAUAGCAUGUGAGAGGCACUGGGUUCAAUUCUCAGCAUACAUA